CCAUUUUUUUUGUCCUCUAGUAAAGUGAAUUUCGAUUUUGAAAGCCUUCAUCCAAAUCUUCUCUCAUGGACAAUUUGAAACCAUUCAAUUUCCAGCAAAUUAUUUGUCCAUAUGGACAAUGAAAGGGGGGAGGGACAGCCACAUUCCAAACCUUGAAUCUUCUCUCAUGGAAAAUUUGAAACCAUUCAAUUUCCACCAAAUUAUUUGUCCAUAUGGACAAUGAAAGGGGGGAGGGACAGCCACAUUCCAAACCUUGAAUCUUCUCUCAUGGACAAUUUGAAACCAUUCAAUUUCCACCAAAUUAUUUGUCCAUAUGGACAAUGAAAGGGGGUAGGGACAGCCACAUUCCAAACCUUGAAUCUUCUCUCAUGGACAAUUUGAAACCAUUCAAUUUCCACCAAAUUAUUUGUCCAUAUGGACAAUGAAAGGGGGGAGGGAAAGCCACAUUCCAAACCUUGAAUCUUCUCUCAUGGACAAUUUGAAACCAUUCAAUUUCCACCAAAUUAUUUGUCCAUAUGGACAAUGAAAGGGGGAGGGACAGCCACCCACAUUCCAAACCUUGAAUCACCAUUUGUUCAACCAUCAUAUCAAGAAAAUAACACACAAGGGAGGAUCCAAUAAGAGUAUAAUAGACUAAGGAUAUGUUUAGAUAAACUUCUCCAUAAACAUUUUUCUUUCCUAUAAGCGUCUACAGCGAACCUUAUACAAACAAACCCUUACCAUCAUUUCAAAUAAAGGAAACACCAGAAAUAUGAG
rnacentral:sRNA from 1 species